rnacentral:rRNA from 1 species
UGCGAGCGUUGUCCGGAAUUACUGGGCGUAAAGAGCUCGUAGGUGGUUUGUCGCGUCGUUAGUGAAAGCCCGGGGCUUAACUCCGGGUCUGCUGGCGAUACGGGCAUAACUUGAGUGCUGUAGGGGAGACUGGAAUUCCUGGUGUAGCGGUGGAAUGCGCAGAUAUCAGGAGGAACACCGAUGGCGAAGGCAGGUCUCUGGGCAGUAACUGACGCUGAGGAGCGAAAGCAUGGGUAGCGAACAGGAUUAGAUACCCUGGUAGUCCAUGCCGUAAACGGUGGGCGCUAGGUGUGGGGGUUUUUCACGACUUCCGUGCCGUAGCUAACGCAUUAAGCGCCCCGCCUGGGGAGUACGGCCGCAAGGCUAAAACUCAAAGGAAUUGACGGGGGCCCGCACAAGCGGCGGAGCAUGUGGAUUAAUUCGAUGCAACGCGAAGAACCUUACCUGGGCUUGACAUAUACGGGAUCGGCGUAGAGAUACGUUUUCCCUUGUGGCUCGUAUACAGGUGGUGCAUGGUUGUCGUCAGCUCGUGUCGUGAGAUGU